UUCUCAAUGUGGUAUCUCCAUGCAGGGAAACCUUCUAAUCCCCAGUAAAAUGAAAGAGAGCAUAAAUAUUCAGUAACUAGAGGAUUUAAGUAUAUGCUCAGUGUCCUACCUAUAAACAUGUCUGCAAAGGAUCUUGGUUUGUUCCUUGGAGAUGAACCAAAUGCUUUAGCUAGUGGUAGAGUGUUUUCUCUCCCUUUGCUCUUAUAGACCUGGCCUAACAUAAAAAUAAAUAUUUGCUUAAGAUAAUCUCCAGCUUGACCUUUCUGAAGGCACAGGAAGCUGGUUUAACUUUAGCCAUCCACAGCUACAGGUUGGAAUGUCUUGAUGUAGGGAGGAAAAUGUUUCCAAGGAAAGUUCUUUCCCAUUUCCUUGCUGGUUGUAUUAAUGCUCCAGUGUUCAAGUCUAAAUCUAUGGGGUAAUGGAUACAGUGGAUAAUGGGGAGUGGUGGUGUUUUUUUUUUUUUAAACCAACAUAACACAUGGAAAUACUUGUAACUGAGGAGUGAAUUAGGCUUAGCAUUCAGCUCUGUGGCUAAUCACAUCAGCCUGUGAAAGGCAUGUGGAGGUGCUCACUGGGAUAAACUGGCGGCUGUGCUUGCGUAAUUUGGCGGUCCACUCUCAUUUUCCUCAAGUCACCUAGCUCAAAAGCUUUCGAGUUAUGGACAGAAUUUGAAGAUUGUAGAAGACCUCUGGAAGAAUCCUUUGAGAAAAAUCAAAGAUCUACACUACCAAAAAUGAUUCUAGAAAGUACUGAUGUAAGGGAAGCUCCCAGAAUGAGCUGGAAACCAGGACAUGUUGAAUGGAAGAGAAGCAGAGUAUGCAAUCACUGGGCUCAUUCUCUGAUGUACGUGAAGACACCUCAGUUCAAUCAGCUGAAGCACCCAUUAGUUAAUGAAGAAUUUGAAUGUUCUGAAGAGCUAAAGGCAAGACAAGGCUGGGGCAGGGGCCUGGUUUUACUUAUUCAUCACUCAACAAAUAUUUGCUGUCUGUCUAACGACUGGGAAUGCCAAUAGGAGUCAGGCAGUCAUGAUGUAUUGAGGAAGACAGACAAAAAUCAACAAUAUGCUAGGUGCUAUGAAAGAGCCAAGGUUUGAGUGUUAAGGGGCCUGGACUGGGCUGGGAGUACUCACACUCCAGGUCCCAGAGACUGAGAAGAGAGGCAGGCACAUUUGAGGAGCCUCCCCACCCACUACCAUCUGGCGGUUAAAACGCAAAUAAAACAUCUUUAAUUUAAAACUUAGCAUUUGAAGAUGUUGCAGACUUGACGUCUUUGAGUUUGAAAUGUAAAGAAUAUGUGCUCAGAGAUGGAGUUUUUCCUGCUGAUUCAGAGGAAGCCAGCUCUGGGCCCCACGACAGCUUUUGAUCUAGGGAGUAAUCACUGUCUGUUUUCUCUGCAAUCACAGAGAAUUUCAGCAAAGCCUUUCCUAAAACAACCAUAACCAAUUUUUUCCCCCCAAAAAUACUCCCUGCAUUUCAUGUUCUCUGUUUAGGUAAUCUGCAUAGAGUUUUUAUUAAAAAACCUUGUAAAAUAGCAUUAUUUUAUCUAUUUUACGGAAAAGAAAAUAGAGAUAUAAGGAAGUUAACAAUAACUUAGUUACUCAGCAAACUUUGGAAUAAGGAUUUUAGUCCGUGACAUAUUGCCUCUUUAUAAAUCCCUGCUCUUAGUCAUAUUAAAUCUGCAAAGAUUACAAUCUGUUAGUCUAAUUUAUCAAUGCCUAAGAAUUUCUUCCUGAAUGAUGUUUCUGUGUAGCUUCUAAAGUGCUUUAAAAUUCUUAUUAAGAAUAAGACAUGUAAAUAAUUUUUUUUUAAAGGAAAUGAACAAAAGGUUAAGUUCUAACUCGAGUAGGAUGAGUUUUUAUUCUGAUUUUUUUUUUUUUUUUUUUUUUUUACAAAAUGUGUUACUCUCUUGGACUGCAGAGGGACUUUCCAAAGGGGGAACAAAAAGUGACUUAACUGAUCUUCAACUUCUCUUCCAAUCCUAAGAUUCUUUUAUUUUGGUAAGAAAAUUUGACAUUUCUGUCUUGAUGUGAACCAAGGGAG